rnacentral:misc_RNA from 1 species
GAAAUGCGAUAAGUAAUGUGAAUUGCAGAAUCCAGUGAAUCAUCGAAUCUUUGAACGCACAUUGCGCCCGCCAGCAUCCUGGCGGGCAUGCCUGUCCGAGCGUCAUUUCGACCAUCAAGCCCCAGGGCUUGUGUUGGGGACCUGCGGCUGCCCGCAGGCCCUGAAAACCAGUGGCGGGCCCGCCGGCACUCCGAGCGCAGUAGUCACCCCUCUCGCUCAGGGCGCGCCGCGGGUUUGUUCCCGGCCGUUAAGCAGCGACCCUCGCAAGGUUGACCUCGGAUCAGGUAGGGAUACCCGCUGAACUUAA